ACAGUUUAUAUCUUGUUCAUUUACGAUGAAUCCGCUUUAUUGAAGGGCGGAUGCCGGUAAGUUGAGAGUGGCGGCUUCAUUUUCUUGUUUAACACUUUCUAACUCAAAAUUUUGGACCAUCUAAUUCUUUAUUAUUUGCAUUUUUAAUUUUAUCCUUGUGAAUUUUAUUUUAUUGAAUAUACGUAAAACCUCUUAUUAAUAUUUAAUUUUAGGUCACCAUUUUCGUGAGCCGCCUGUUGCAGUUACAUUAGUCCUACCUAUGAUUUUGAAGUAUUUGGAUGCGUUUUCUUUUUAUCUCAUAUGUUCCGAAUCAGGUUACUCCUGCAAAUAUAGAGAUUCAGGAAUUUCUGCUAUAUAUAAAAAGGAUGAUUUAGGAUGAUCAAGGGCAAUAUCGUAAAUUCACACUAAGUAGUAUAUAUCUUCAUUCAAGACGUUGGAACCAUCAAUAUCCUUAGUUCCAGAAAAAUCCAUGAUUCACCGACUGACUCUCUUUCAUCUUCACUCUUCAGGUAUAUUAGCAAUUGCAGGUUCAAAUUGGGUCUCCGGAGGGUUCAACGUUAGCGCUUCCAAAUGCUUCAUGACUCAAAACUUCUCUUAAUUUUCUUCACUGUCAAUGAACUAUUUUCAUUCCUUCCAUCUUUAUAGCGGGUUACAAUUAUAGAUAGAGUGAUCGGAAGACGAAAGCGUAUCUUUGCUUCAAGAAGUUGUAUAACUAUGUCGAAUUGUCCUCUCCUUUGGUACCAACUGCAAUUAACCUCUGUUUUGUUUAUUAUAUUCAGUAAGUAUUCUCUUUCUCCAUGUUACUUUCUUGCUCCAUGUUCUGUUCUUCCGUAUUAGGUCUGCGGUAAUUUUUUUUUAAUUUAAGGGGUCAUAUGAUUUUUUUAAAUGCCGAAAGAGAGUGGUUUAUAGUUGCAUUUGAAGGGAGGUAAUGCUCUACAUGGUGAAUAAUUAGGAGUGAUAGAGGCAUCUUUGAAUUUAUGGGUCUCCUUGAAUAUUUUCUGUUUAGUUUGUCGAAAUUUCACUCCAACACACAAUGUAUUUGAUUUAAUUCACAAGAAAAAAUCUUAGCAAGUAUAUAUCAUGUGAUAAGUCAUUAUUUCACCCAAGGUGCUCAAGCAAAAAAGAGUAUAAUUAGAGCAUAUGACAAUUAAAUCAAUUGUAAGUUUUGAAACAAGCGACAAUUAAUUUGCUUAAGAAAAAAAUUAAAUAGUCCAUGAAUAGUCUCAUUCUAUAAUAAUUGGCACAUAGGAGUUGAACUGAAGCCUUAAUUCAUAUUUAUGAAUCUAUAUUAAAGAAUCCUCAAUAAAAAGUUAAAUUAGAUCGACUAACGAUGAAGCAAAUCAUCUACAAGCUGCACAACCAAUGAGAAAUUCAAGUUGAAAGAGGAAAAAAAUAGACAAUCAACCAAACUCUUGCCUAGCUAGCAUGAGAAAGGUUCAACUCCUAUUUCGAUUGAGCAAUGGAGCAAUCAAGGGUACAAAAGUCUAUCUUGUGAUUUUUAUCUCCAGGUGUUCUCUCUAGAUUUCUCCAAUUACUUUCUUUCUUGCCGAUUUUCUUCUGCAAAGAAAACUGUAGUUAUAAGAAUAAACACAAUUGCUGGCAGUGGGGCAAUUUCACUUUUUUUUGGUGUUUGAGAAUCUUUCUACAAGUUAAAAAGCAAUACCGUCAAAUUCUAAUGAAACAAGGUAUUCCUUUUCUUAAUUUUAGUUCCUAUUUUUUUCUUACUUUAUAGUUGUUCGUAGAUUUUGUUAGCUUUUUAUGAUAGUAAUUGUUAUGGGUAACUAUAGAUUUUUAUAAGCAACUUAUGUGGGAAUUGUAAUGGAUUACCUCAAAAUUGAAAAUGAGAUUGUACUGGUGACUUACAAAAGAAAUGGUCCUGCAUUUAAAUGCCUUUAUGGUACCUCUCCGCGAUCUCCUUGAAAAUAUUCUUUUAACUAAUUUUUUAAGCCUGUCUUUUGUUUUUUAUCCCUUUUUAGAUCUUUCAUUUAAAUUUAAAAUUUUGUUGGUGAUUUGAUCUUCUUUGAAGUAAAAUCUGGUAAAACUUGAUCUUGAUAUAUUACUAUGUGAAUGGAUGAAUUACUUGAAACUAUGUUGCGGGAAGACAUAAACUGUUAUUGUUGUAGUCAAUUGUAAGUUGUUUAUGAAUGUAUUUGCUUUCUAAUUUUGCAAUUUUGUCUCUUUGUCAAACAAUUUUUUACUUAUUGAUGUUCAUGUGAUUGUAGUUUCAGACACGUUGAGAUUAACGACAUGCUGAGUGAUGUUAGUAAGCCGGUUCGCUUACUUCAACUGAUCUGCAUCUUGGUGGCACAAAAUACAUGGUCAUUCAAGAAGAAGUAAAAAGACCGAAAAUUGCUUAGCGUGGACAAAUGAACACUGUAUUACCGAGUCAAGCUCAAAGAGAGGUUGUAUUAGAAUAUGAUGCUUUUGAGGAUGCUCGAGCAAAAGGAGAAAGACAACUAACAAUAUAGUCAAUCGGUCGCAAAUCUUAUUUGAAGGUUCAUAUAAGAAAGUAUCACCGGUGAGACAUUCUUAAACCUAAAGUACAAGGGAACAAACCACAUGCGUGAUAAAGUGGCCAGUCAAUGAUAAAUGCUCUCAUUCGAAAUUUCAGCAUGUGGUAUAAUGAAGUAGGAGUUAUAAAACUGCUCACAGGUAUUCUAGGCACCAUGUUGGAUUUAUUACCCUUUCAAUAACUUACAUCCUCCUGCCUUUACAUACUUCUUGACAUUGCAAGUUAUUUCUAUUUAGUAUAUUGUUUCUUCCUAUUUUUUUUAGUUGGUCAUAUGCUUGUAAUUGUUUCUGUUAUAAAGCUUUUGAUGUUACAUUAUGAUGGAUAGCUUCUCAGAUUUUGCACAAAGUAUGUUCUUGAUAAAUAAAAUGCUCUUCUUUUCUAAUGUAUCUCAAUUUUUUGCAAGACUCAAUGUGGAUGAGAAAAGAAAUUGGAGAUACAUUUAGGACCAAAGUCAUCCCAUGGAUGACCCCCACAGUAGUACAAUGAGCUAUAUUAAUUGUACAUUAAAGUGCUGUACUUUUUCAUUAAGUAUCUAUUGGAGACUGAAUGAUCACUUCAUGUGGCUUUUACUGUAGUUGGACCAAUAUAGCUCUAGAAUUAUUUCUAUCAUCGCACGCGUAUCUUCAUUCUUCUUUGGACUUUCAGAAAUUACUCUCACUUAAUUUUCUCUUUAAGUAUGCUCCUUUAAUUCAAGCCCUAAAUUUUCCGAUUCACUUUUCCUUCGUCUCAUGUACAAUUCGUGUAACGUGAGCUUUUAUGUCAUUAGAGAGAUUUUCUAAUAAUUGUUGGUAAAAGGGUAAUUCAUUGAAUGAGAAUAAAAAGGUGUUUGGAUGAAUCAGCUAAAUAGAAGCUCGAGGUUUGAUUCAACGUGUUGGAAUUUGACAUAGAUGAUUUAACGACUUAAAAAGAAGUCAGAUUAGAAAUACAAUUAUGUGUUUUCACAAUUUGAGAUGACGUUGUGUGCUACUGCUUGCUGAGUAUUUGUGUUGAUAAAAGCAAACACUUACACUGGUCAGCAGGGGAUGGAGUUGCUUUCGAACCGCUUGGUGGGAAUAUUAUGGUAUAACCUCUUCAAUUUCUGUAUUUUUAUUUUUUUAUGUAUUUAUAUUACAUUAAUUAGCCGAGGACAUGGAACAGUUACAGCUCACCGAGGACAUGACCCUAGAUAGGAAGGUCUGGAAGACGCGAAUUACGGCAGAAGAGUAGGGCCAGAUUGGGUCGCUAGUGUAGGGAAUUACCUGUUAUGAUUCCGUAUUUAGUGUUCCAUGCUUAUUACGAAUCUGUGUGCUUUCCUCUGCUUUCCUCUGUUUUAUAUUCCUUAUGGGUGCCGUAUUUAUGUUAUGUCAUCUGCUUCUGUGCUUUACUAUGUGUUUGUGUGAUAUCUUGUGCCUGAGCCGGGGGUCUUUCGGAAACAGCCUUUCUACUUCAUCAGAGGUAGAGGUAUGGACUGCGUACAUCUUACCCCCCCAGACCCCACUAAGUGGGAAUACACUGGGUUUGUUGUUGUUUGUAUAUUACAUUAAUUAGCCAAAGGUUGAUUCUUUAUAUAUAACUCCUUUGAAAUUGAUUUCUUUUUAGGUUUUAGUCAGAUGAUAAUUUCAUAAUCACCAAUUGCAAAAUUCUGAUGAACAUUUGGCUCAGUAUUUAUGCUGAUAAAAGUGAAUGCUUAUACUGGUUUGUGUAGGGAUGGAGUUGCUUUCGAACUGAUUGACGGGAAUGGUAUAACACCUUCAGAAAGAUGAGAAUUUUUGUGGAAUCAGCGGAUGGAUCGUUAUGAACUUGAAGAGUACACAUGUUGGUUGGACCUCUCUGGCACCAAAGUCAUCUCACUAUCUAGAAGUCUACGAAGCCUGUUUUUGUCCAUGCAAUUUUUGUCGGUGUGCAAUUUUUACUCUCUAUUUUUGUUUUAGAAAGAUGCACAUUCAAGAAAUAAAUGCACAAAUUAUUUAAAUCA